rnacentral:rRNA from 1 species
CACAUGCAGUCGAGCGGAAACGAUCCUAGCUUGCUAGGAGGCGUCGAGCGGCGGACGGGUGAGUAAUGCAUAGGAAUCUGCCCGGUAGUGGGGGAUAACCUGGGGAAACCCAGGCUAAUACCGCAUACGCCCUACGGGGGAAAGCAGGGGAUCUUCGGACCUUGCGCUAUCGGAUGAGCCUAUGUCGGAUUAGCUAGUUGGUGAGGUAACGGCUCACCAAGGCUGCGAUCCGUAGCUGGUCUGAGAGGAUGAUCAGCCACAUCGGGACUGAGACACGGCCCGAACUCCUACGGGAGGCAGCAGUGGGGAAUAUUGGACAAUGGGCGAAAGCCUGAUCCAGCCAUGCCGCGUGUGUGAAGAAGGCCUUCGGGUUGUAAAGCACUUUCAGUGAGGAAGAAAGCCUUGAGGUUAAUACCCUCGAGGGAGGACAUCACUCACAGAAGAAGCACCGGCUAACUCCGUGCCAGCAGCCGCGGUAAUACGGAGGGUGCGAGCGUUAAUCGGAAUUACUGGGCGUAAAGCGCGCGUAGGCGGCUUGAUAAGCCGGUUGUGAAAGCCCCGGGCUCAACCUGGGAACGGCAUCCGGAACUGUCAGGCUAGAGUGCAGGAGAGGAAGGUAGAAUUCCCGGUGUAGCGGUGAAAUGCGUAGAGAUCGGGAGGAAUACCAGUGGCGAAGGCGGCCUUCUGGACUGACACUGACGCUGAGGUGCGAAAGCGUGGGUAGCAAACAGGAUUAGAUACCCUGGUAGUCCACGCCGUAAACGAUGUCGACUAGCCGUUGGGCUCCUUGAGAGCUUUGU